AUUGAACGCUGGCGGCAUGCCUUACACAUGCAAGUCGAACGGUAACAGGUCUUCGGAUGCUGACGAGUGGCGAACGGGUGAGUAAUACAUCGGAACGUGCCUAGUAGCGGGGGAUAACUACUCGGAAGAGUGGCUAAUACCGCAUGAGAUCUACGGAUGAAAGCAGGGGAUCGCAAGACCUUGUGCUACUAGAGCGGCCGAUGGCAGAUUAGGUAGUUGGUGGGAUAAAAGCUUACCAAGCCGACGAUCUGUAGCUGGUCUGAGAGGACGAUCAGCCACACUGGGACUGAGACACGGCCCAGACUCCUACGGGAGGCAGCAGUGGGGAAUUUUGGACAAUGGGCGCAAGCCUGAUCCAGCAAUGCCGCGUGCAGGAUGAAGGCCUUCGGGUUGUAAACUGCUUUUGUACGGAACGAAAAGCCCCGGGUUAAUACCCUGGGGUCAUGACGGUACCGAAAGAAUAAGCACCGGCUAACUUCGUGCCAGCCGCCGCGGUAA
rnacentral:rRNA from 1 species